AGCGAACGCUGGCGGCAGGCCUAACACAUGCAAGUCGAACGAAGUCUUCGGACUUAGUGGCGGACGGGUGAGUAACACGUGGGAACGUGCCUUUAGGUUCGGAAUAACUCAGGGAAACUUGUGCUAAUACCGAAUGUGCCCUUCGGGGGAAAGAUUUAUCGCCUUUAGAGCGGCCCGCGUCUGAUUAGCUAGUGGGGGAGGUAAAGGCUCACAAAGGCUACGAUCAGUAGCUGGUCUGAGAGGAUUACCAGCCACAUUGGGACUGAGACACGGCCCAAACUCCUACGGGAGGCAGCAGUGGGGAAUCUUGCGCAAUGGGCGAAAGCCUGACGCAGCCAUGCCGCGUGGAUGAUGAAGGUCUUAGGAUUGUAAAAUCCUUUCACCGGUGAAGAUAAUGACUGUAGCCGGAGAAGAAGCCCCGGCUAACUUCGUGCCAGCCGCCGCCGUAACAC
rnacentral:rRNA from 1 species